GCCCAGAUUGAACGCUGGCGGCAGGCCUAACACAUGCAAGUCGAACGGUAACAGGAAACAGCUUGCUGUUUCGCUGACGAGUGGCGGACGGGUGAGUAAUGUCUGGGAAACUGCCUGAUGGAGGGGGAUAACUACUGGAAACGGUAGCUAAUACCGCAUAACGUCGCAAGACCAAAGAGGGGGACCUUCGGGCCUCUUGCCAUCAGAUGUGCCCAGAUGGGAUUAGCUAGUAGGUGGGGUAACGGCUCACCUAGGCGACGAUCCCUAGCUGGUCUGAGAGGAUGACCAGCCACACUGGAACUGAGACACGGUCCAGACUCCUACGGGAGGCAGCAGUGGGGAAUAUUGCACAAUGGGCGCAAGCCUGAUGCAGCCAUGCCGCGUGUAUGAAGAAGGCCUUCGGGUUGUAAAGUACUUUCAGCGGGGAGGAAGGGAGUAAAGUUAAUACCUUUGCUCAUUGACGUUACCCGCAGAAGAAGCACCGGCUAACUCCGUGCCAGCAGCCGCGGUAAUACGGAGGGUGCAGGCGUUAAUCGGAAUUACUGGGCGUAAAGCGCACGCAGGCGGUUUGUUAAGUCAGAUGUGAAAUCCCCGGGCUCAACCUGGGAACUGCAUCUGAUACUGGCAAGCUUGAGUCUCGUAGAGGGGGGUAGAAUUCCAGGUGUAGCGGUGAAAUGCGUAGAGAUCUGGAGGAAUACCGGUGGCGAAGGCGGCCCCCUGGACGAAGACUGACGCUCAGGUGCGAAAGCGUGGGGAGCAAACAGGAUUAGAUACCCUGGUAGUCCACGCCGUAAACGAUGUCGACUUGGAGGUUGUGCCCUUGAGGCGUGGCUUCCGGAGCUAACGCGUUAAGUCGACCGCCUGGGGAGUACGGCCGCAAGGUUAAAACUCAAAUGAAUUGACGGGGGCCCGCACAAGCGGUGGAGCAUGUGGUUUAAUUCGAUGCAACGCGAAGAACCUUACCUGGUCUUGACAUCCACGGAAGUUUUCAGAGAUGAGAAUGUGCCUUCGGGAACCGUGAGACAGGUGCUGCAUGGCUGUCGUCAGCUCGUGUUGUGAAAUGUUGGGUUAAGUCCCGCAACGAGCGCAACCCUUAUCCUUUGUUGCCAGCGGUCCGGCCGGGAACUCAAAGGAGACUGCCAGUGAUAAACUGGAGGAAGGUGGGGAUGACGUCAAGUCAUCAUGCCCCUUACGACCAGGGCUACACACGUGCUACAAUGGCGCAUACAAAGAGAAGCGACCUCGCGAGAGCAAGCGGACCUCAUAAAGUGCGUCGUAGUCCGGAUUGGAGUCUGCAACUCGACUCCAUGAAGUCGGAAUCGCUAGUAAUCGUGGAUCAGAAUGCCACGGUGAAUACGUUCCCGGGCCUUGUACACACCACCCGUCACACCAUGGGAGUGGGUUGCAAAAGAAGUAGGUAGCUUAACCUUCGGGAGGGCGCUUACCACUUUGUGAUUCAUGACUGGGGUGAAGUCGGAACAAGGUAACCGUAGGGGAACCUGCG
rnacentral:rRNA from 1 species